UUGGGUACAUCCGUCAGUAAAAACCAUUAUAAAUCCUAAAAUAUUGUUCGUCUAAUUACUUUUUCCGCUGAAAUUUGGAGACCAUGUAUUUAAAAUGGCUACCCUCAUACACUGUCCAUAAAAGAUGGAUAGAAACAUUCUCUAAACAGAAGUUGGUAAUAACCUCAGGUCUUUAUUUUAAAUCCACUGUGCUUGUGUACAGAGCAAAAACAAUAAAAUAUGUUGGCCCUAAUAAUUUCUAGCAAAAGGAAAGUGUUGUUUCCCCUUGUUUUUGUUUUGUAAUACUGUUAUUCAGUCUCAAUAAAGUGCCUUAUCUGUUUUGUAAUUUCAUAGCCUCAAAUGAUAAUUAUUUUUUAUUACAGGUAUGGUCAGAAAUUGACCAUGCAUCUCCAACCAGCGAAUGUGUACCACCACUGGAAAGAGUGUAUUUGUUGCCUUCCUUCACAACAUGGACACAGAUUCCAGCUCUGCAGAAGAUGGGAAUGUGUCCCACUCCAAUUCCAAGCUGGGCCCAGAAUCACAUCCAGUCACUUAAACAGCAGAAGAUUCUGUGAUACCCUCACCAACAGACACACAGGUAUGGUCAGAAAUUGACCAUGCAUCUCCAACCAGCGAAUGUGUACCACCACUGGAAAGAGUGUAUUUGUUGCCUUCCUUCACAACAUGGACUAGGGUUAGGGUUCUUAACAUGAACGACACCGAAAUGGACCAACUUGCUGAUAUCCUGGGACAUGAUAUUCGUAUCCACAGGAAAUAUUACAGAUUACCCGAGGGAACACUAUUAACAGGAGUGCGUUGAGCCUGAUCCUGGGAUAGAGAGUGAAACCGAACUGUCAGAUCAUUCUCAUGACGUGAUGUCAAGUGAGCCAGCAGGCACUUCAGGAGUGAAUAGCAGCAGGCCAGUAAACACGAAUGAAGGAUCUCCAGAGAGGUCACGGGAGGUCAUGAAAGUAACAUCAGUUCCUAGGAAGAGAAAGUGGAGUGAAGUGGAGAUUGCAGCUGUAGAAGAGACAAUGAUGAAAUGUAUUCACUCGGGAGUUACUCCUGGAAAAGUCGACUACAUUGCAUGCAUUACAGCAGCCCCCAAAGCCCUCGGUGAACGAGACUGGCAGGCGGUGAAGUAUUAUA